rnacentral:rRNA from 1 species
AUUGAACGCUGGCGGCAUGCUUUACACAUGCAAGUCGGACGGCAGCACAGAGAAGCUUGCUUCUUGGGUGGCGAGUGGCGAACGGGUGAGUAACAUAUCGGAACGUACCGGGCAGUGGGGGAUAACUAAUCGAAAGAUUAGCUAAUACCGCAUAUCUUCUGAGGAAGAAAGCAGGGGACCAUUUGGCCUUGCGCUGUUUGAGCGGCCGAUAUCUGAUUAGCUAGUUGGUGGGGUAAAGGCCUACCAAGGCGACGAUCAGUAGCGGGUCUGAGAGGAUGAUCCGCCACACUGGGACUGAGACACGGCCCAGACUCCUACGGGAGGCAGCAGUGGGGAAUUUUGGACAAUGGGCGCAAGCCUGAUCCAGCCAUGCCGCGUGUCUGAAGAAGGCCUUCGGGUUGUAAAGGACUUUUGUCAGGGAAGAAAAGGGCGGGGUUAAUACCCCUGUCUGAUGACGGUACCUGAAGAAUAAGCACCGGCUAACUACGUGCCAGCAGCCGCGGUAAUACGUAGGGUGCGAGCGUUAAUCGGAAUUACUGGGCGUAAAGCGGGCGCAGACGGUUACUUAAGCAGGAUGUGAAAUCCCCGGGCUCAACCUGGGAACUGCGUUCUGAACUGGGUGACUAGAGUGUGUCAGAGGGAGGUAGAAUUCCACGUGUAGCAGUGAAAUGCGUAGAGAUGUGGAGGAAUACCGAUGGCGAAGGCAGCCUCCUGGGAUAACACUGACGUUCAUGCCCGAAAGCGUGGGUAGCAAACAGG